rnacentral:rRNA from 1 species
GCUUGGCCCUAAAUCUAGAUGUUUCUUCCACCAAAACAUCCGCCCGAGAACUACGAGCACAAACGCUUAAAACUCUAAGGACUUGGCGGUGCUCCAAACCCACCUAGAGGAGCCUGUUCUGUAAUCGAUAACCCACGAUACACCCAACCCCUCCUUGCCCAAAGCAGCCUACAUACCGCCGUCCCCAGCUCACCUUCUCUGAGGGCCCAACAGUGAGCACAACAACGCCGCUAAUAAGACAGGUCAAGGUAUAGCCUAUGGAGUGGAAGAAAUGGGCUACAUUUUCUAGAAUAGAAAACGAAAAGGGGCUUGAAACAACCCCUAGAAGGAGGAUUUAGCAGUAAAGGGGGGUAAGAAUGCCCCCUUAAACUUGGCCCUGGAG